UUUUCUGUUUCUGUUUCACCUUUUGGACUGUCUCUGACUGACUCCGUUUUUUGUGAUUUUUAUACUGUGCUAUUGGGUAAACAGGAAUUAUGGGUUCCAAUACAUCUGGAGAUUCUUCCUUACACAGGCCUACAGAUCCCCUCAGACAUCAAACAAUACAAUGGUGCAACAUGCUUCAAUAAAAGAAUGUUCUUAUAUGCAGCAAGACGGAGGGUUCCAUUUGUCCAGGAGACGGCUAUUGAAAUCAACAAACCGCAGUGAGGACAGGCUGCUGAGGUGGUGAUAAUUCCUGGCUUAUCUGUCUGCAUCACUCAGGCAUUUGUCAAUACAAGUAUCUGAGAAGUUGUAACCUGGUUGUCUCAUUGUAAUCUUCCAGUUGAUGUAUUUCUGUUCCUUCCCUUCAUGAUUGCCCCAGACAUGUAACUAGAUCUCUUUCUUCCCUAAAAGAAUGCAAUCAUUUCUUACUUUAACCAUAAACAUGCUGGUCUAGCAGUUUCAUCAGACUGCACAACAGCCAAGUUUCA